rnacentral:lncRNA from 1 species
AUGUUUAAGGUCCAGGAGCAAAGAGAACUUGAUUUUACAAAGAGCUUGUGUGUUGGUUCUGACAGGGAAGGACCACCAGCCAUGCCCUCCAGGUACCUUCCCACCAUCACAGACCCCUGUUCCCCCCGCCCCCUCCCUCUCGUCCAGGGUGUUGUGCAGUUGGAGCCCACAGCAUCGUCAUCAGUUUGCUUCUUGAAAAACCACAGUAAGCAAAGGAUUGACACGCAGCAGACGGCCGAAGGGAGGCUGCUGUGGGCUGUGUGGAUGGGAGGCAGAGGGUGGAGCCGCCCCCACCUCACCGCCAGGUGGGGCAGGAAACCCUGGUGGUGCAAGAGGCUCGGGGUGACUGCAGGAGGAGACGCCCGCAGGCGGGCAGAGCAGGAUGUGGAGCAGGCCAGGGCCUGCACCCCAGCGCCAGGUAUGCGGCCCGGAGGAAGGCGCGCCCACGGCAGGUGCAGGGAGCCAGUGCCCACGGCCCCAGAAGAGGGAGGCCUGCAGGUGCGGUCGGGGCACGUCCUGGGCUGCAGAGCCACGCGUCCUCCAGAGUCGCUGUGCUGCCUGCAGUGUGGGUGCAGGGGAGGGCGGCGCUGGGUCCGCCACGCUGGUGGCUCUGGUGACACCUGGGGGGACAGCUCCAGAAGUGGGGUGGGGGCAGGGAGGCUGAGCCCCAUGAGGGCCUGGGCCCCUCUCUGCAAGGGCCACACUGGACACUCCUGGCUGCAGCCCAGCUCCCUCUGUCCACCUGGCCACCCUGGCGCAGGCCCGGGCAUCAGGCUUAGCGCUCGGAGCCCAGAGCCCCCAGCUGCUCCUGAGUCCCCUUGGCAUCUCCAGGCGCGGGCAUGGCUCGCACCCACCAUCAAGAUGGGUCUCUGGGGGAGCUCUCCUCCCUCUGCUGUGACAUCAGAGACCAGGCAGGGACCCCUGUUUCCACCCCAGGCUCUGAUCCAGCCCUCCCCUUCCUCCGAAGGCCUCCAUCCCCAGAGAGGAGUUAACACUUCCCUCAGUCAGGCUCUGAGAAAGCAGGAGACAGCGUGA